AGUCUUAUCAGAUAUUUUCGUCAGAAGCGGUUGUGUGUUGCCCGAUUUGUGGACUUUUAAACUCCCAAAACAUUCAAAGCUUAACGCUCAUAGUGUAUUAUCGCCAUGCUAAACAGUCCGACGCCAGUCAAAAAAGUGCCCAUACAUCUACAAAGCGCGCAGAAUCGUGUAUAUAUAAAAAAUGGCCAAGUUGUCAACCACGAUAAGUCUUUUAAAGCGGAUGUUUAUAUAGAGGAUGGCAAAAUCAAAUUCGUGGGAUCCGCUGCUGACAUUACGAUACCAGGCGGAGUGCAUACAAUCGAUGCUAGCGGAAAGCUGAUAAUACCAGGUGGCAUUGAUCCCCAUACGCAUAUGCAACUUCCUUUUGGCAAUGCGGUGGCCGUCGAUGAUUUCUAUCAUGGAACCAAAGCGGCGGUAGCUGGUGGCACGACAAUGAUAAUCGACUUUGUAUUGCCCAACAAAAACGAGUCCAUGAUCGAGGCUUAUGACAAGUGGCGCAGCUGGGCUGAUCCCAAGGUUUGCUGUGACUACGGCCUUCACGUGGGAAUAACUUGGUGGUCAAAAUCGGUAGCUGAGGAAAUCGGCAUACUCUGCAAAGAGUUGGGUAUCAAUUCAUUUAAGACCUUUAUGGCCUACAAGGGACUUUACCAGCUGAACGACUCGGAUCUCUUGGAUGUUUUUGAGCGCAUUAGAAGCUUGAAUGCCGUAGCUAUGGUGCAUGCUGAAAAUGGUGAUAUUAUUGCCAAGAACGCAAAACGCUUGCUAGCCCAGGGCGUAACUGGACCCGAGGGGCACGAGUUGUCGAGGCAGGAGGAAGUUGAGGCUGAGGCCGUUCAUCGUGCUUGCAUUUUGGCUCAUCAGGUCGAUUGUCCACUUUAUGUGGUCCACGUGAUGAGCAAAUCGGCUGGCAUUGAGAUAGCUCGCGCUCGUCAACGCUAUAGUAAGAAAUAUAUAUUUGGGGAGACCUUAGCGGCAGCUCUCGGUACAGAUGGCACCCACUAUCGCUGCCAGCAUUUCGAUCAUGCGGCGGCUCAUGUGCUGAGUCCGCCUCUAAGACCCGACAAGACAACUCCCGAAUUCCUGAUGAAGCUGCUAGCCAAUUUGUUUUUUAUUUCUACUAAACCCAAGUCGUUAAACACGAUGGAAGCUCACAAGCUAAGCCUGAUUUGAAACUGUUGUAAUAUCUUUAUGUUCAUGCAAAAUUUGCUCUGAGAUGCUCCCGGCGUACCCAGCAAAUCCUUUGCCGAAUCAACCCAUUUCUAGUGAAACGCCAAGAACGUUUGAAUAUAGUCAUUGGCGUACGAUGAUCUUCAGACAACCGGCAGUGAUAAUUGCACCUUUAACAAGAAACAAAAGGAACUCGGCUUGGGAGACUUUACCAAAAUACCAAAU
rnacentral:misc_RNA from 1 species